rnacentral:rRNA from 1 species
GCGGCGGACGGGUGAGUAACACGUGAGUAACCUGCCUUAGACAUUGGGAUAGCCUCGGAAACCGGGAUUAAUACCAAAUAAAAUACAUAAUGACACAUGUCAUAACGAUCAAAACUCCGGUGGUCUAAGAUGGACUCGCGUCCCAUUAGCUAGUUGGUAGAGUAAAAGCCUACCAAGGCGACGAUGGGUAGCCGGCCUGAGAGGGUGAACGGCCACAUUGGAACUGAGAAACGGUCCAA